AGCAGCCGCGGUAAUUCCAGCUCCAAUAGCGUAUAUUAAAGUUGUUGCAGUUAAAAAGCUCGUAGUUGAAUUUCGGGGUUAGUAGGUUGGUCAUGCCUCUGGUAUGUACUGGUCUCACUGAUUCCUCCUUCCUGAUGAACCUUAAUGCCAUUAAUUUGGUGUUUUGGGGAAUUUGGACUGUUACUUUGAAAAAAUUAGAGUGUUUAAAGCAAGCUAACGCUUGAAUACAUUAGCAUGGAAUAAUGAAAUAGGACGUUCGAUCCUAUUUUGUUGGUUUCUAGGAUUGACGUAAUGAUUAAUAGGGAUAGUUGGGGGCAUUAGUAUUCAAUUGUCAGAGGUGAAAUUCUUGGAUUUAUUGAAGACUAACUACUGCGAAAGCAUUUGCCAAGGAUGUUUUCAUUAAUCAAGAACGAAAGUUAGGGGAUCGAAGACGAUCAGAUACCGUCGUAGUCUUAACCAUAAACUAUGCCGACUAGGGAUCGGAUGAUGUUAAUUUUUUAAUGACUCA
rnacentral:rRNA from 7 species